GCAUGCUUCACGCUAAGAACAGGGUUUCCUGAGCAGUUCUGCAGGGGUUUUCAUCCACAUUUCGGACAUGUUAGACAUGCAAUCGUAGAUUACCUGAUUUUGUCGAGAACCUUUACCAUUAAAUCAUAAAGGUGCUCGUGCAUCACAGUUGUGCUCCUGUGAUAAGCAGGGUGGAGGGGGAAGAAAGAGCAUAGCAGAUUAACCAGCAGGGCACAGACUGGUGUGCAGAGAUGGGAGGUGACCAGAUGUGACCUGUCCCCAACUGGAGCUGUCCCCGGAAGUGUCCCCGGUUUUCAUUGUGACUGACAGACCCGAAAUUGGAAUGAAAGAAAACAUUGAACAAACGUAUAGUCACGCUGAAUUGUGCACCCUACACGCGCAGGCUCCAGACAUCCAGAGCUAGCGCUGCUCAGAGAUGUUCUAGAAUGCCCAUGUUUUACGGGUUUAGCGAAGCAAUUUUGAACCUCCCCUUUAAGUUGUAACAUUACCUAAAGUUCUUGUAUUUGUCAACAGAUGCCAUGAUGAAGUCACGACUGCAGUCUAACUCUGUAAAUAGGCCCAAUAUUCACUGCUUUAAAUAAAGUCAGAUUUUUAGACCUCUAA